rnacentral:rRNA from 1 species
GACGAACGCUGGCGGCGUGCUUAACACAUGCAAGUCGAACGAAGAGCGACGGAAGCUUGCUUCUAUCAAUCUUAGUGGCGAACGGGUGAGUAACGCGUAAUCAACCUGCCCUUCAGAGGGGGACAACAGUUGGAGACGACUGCUAAUACCGCAUACGAUCUAACCUCGGCAUCGAGGAUAGAUGAAAGGUGGCCUCUACAUGUAAGCUAUCACUGAAGGAGGGGAUUGCGUCUGAUUAGCUAGUUGGAGGGGUAACGGCCCACCAAGGCGAUGAUCAGUAGCCGGUCUGAGAGGAUGAACGGCCACAUUGGGACUGAGACACGGCCCAGACUCCUACGGGAGGCAGCAGUGGGGAAUCUUCCGCAAUGGACGAAAGUCUGACGGAGCAACGCCGCGUGAGUGAUGACGGCCUUCGGGUUGUAAAGCUCUGUUAAUCGGGACGAAAGGCCUUCUUGCGAAUAGUGAGAAGGAUUGACGGUACCGGAAUAGAAAGCCACGGCUAACUACGUG